rnacentral:rRNA from 1 species
UUUACACAUGCAAGUCGAACGGCAGCACGGACUUCGGUCUGGUGGCGAGUGGCGAACGGGUGAGUAAUAUAUCGGAACGUAUCCAAUAAUGGGGGAUAACUAAUCGAAAGGUUGGCUAAUACCGCAUACGCCCUACGGGGGAAAGCUAGGGAUCUUCGGACCUGGCGUUAAUGGAGCGGCUGAUAUCUGAUUAGCUAGUAGGUGAGGUAAAGGCUCACCUAGGCGACGAUCAGUAGCUGGUCUGAGAGGACGACCAGCCACACUGGAACUGAGACACGGUCCAGACUCCUACGGGAGGCAGCAGUGGGGAAUUUUGGACAAUGGGCGAAAGCCUGAUCCAGCCAUUCCGCGUGAGUGAAGAAGGCCUUUGGGUUGUAAAGCUUUUUCGCAAGGGAAGAAAACUUAGGCGCUAAUAUCGCCUGAGGUUGACGGUACCUUGAUAAGAAGCACCGGCUAACUACGUGCCAGCAGCCGCGGUAAUACGUAGGGUGCGAGCGUUAAUCGGAAUUACUGGGCGUAAAGCGUGCGCAGGCGGUUUUGUAAGUCAGAUGUGAAAUCCCCGAGCUCAACUUGGGAACUGCGUUUGAAACUAUAAGACUAGAAUAUGUCAGAGGGGGGUAGAAUUCCACGUGUAGCAGUGAAAUGCGUAGAGAUGUGGAGGAAUACCAAUGGCGAAGGCAGCCCCCUGGGAUAAUAUUGACGCUCAUGCACGAAAGCGUGGGGAGCAAACAGGAUUAGAUACCCUGGUAGUCCACGCCCUAAACGAUGUCUACUAGUUGUUGGUGGAGUAAAAUCCAUGAGUAACGCAGCUAACGCGU